UGGGGAAUAUUGCACAAUGGGGGAAACCCUGAUGCAGCGACGCCGCGUGAACGAAGAAGGUAUUCGUAUCGUAAAGUUCUGUCCUAUGGGAAGAUAAUGACAGUACCAUAGAAGAAAGCUCCGGCUAAAUACGUGCCAGCAGCCGCGGUAAUACGUAUGGAGCGAGCGUUGUCCGGAAUUAUUGGGCGUAAAGGGUACGCAGGCGGUUUAAUAAGUCGAAUGUUAAAGAUCGGGGCUCAACCCCGCAAAGCAUUGGAAACUGAUAAACUUGAGUAGUGGAGAGGAAAGUGGAAUUCCUAGUGUAGUGGUGAAAUACGUAGAUAUUAGGAGGAAUACCAGUAGCGAAGGCGACUUUCUGGACACAAACUGACGCUGAGGUACGAAAGCGAGGGGAGCAAACAGG
rnacentral:rRNA from 1 species